UAGGGGCACUCCUGUUUCCAGUUUACCAAGUGAACACAUUUAUAAAAGACUGUCAGGAAUGCCUGGGACAAAGCCAACAUCUAUGAAGGAUAACUGUACGUGGUGUUGCCCUAUUUCCAAAGCACCAUUGUUACAGUCUUUUUUACUUUAACUUUUUCUUUUGAACUGAGAAAAACAUGAAAAAAAAUCAAUUAGCAAAAUUGGGGUGUGAGUUAUAUGUGUUUUAGGUUCCUGAAUUUUCCCCCAAAGAAAGUGCAGUAUAAAUGACUUGAGGGCUGGAUUGAAGCACUUCCAUUUCCUGUUUGAUGUCUCAGUUUCAGUUCCUAGCAUUAUGAAAAUUAUAUUGUCAAAAGUUUUUGCUGCUGAGCAAGGCAUGGUGAGUGCUCUGGUCCCACAAUUGAGGGUAGUUCGGAAGCUAAGAGUGGAUUUGGAGUUCAACACCAGCCUCAGCAGCUUGUAAGCCUUAUACAAAGCACACUUGUAAAAGUGUGGUUUUUGAAAUCACAUAAAGGACCCAUUUCAAAAAUAGGCCUAUAGUGAAUCGAAGUCCAAAUUCCAGUUUAUAGAAAAUAAGGUAAGUUCUAAAUGUAUGUUACUUUACAAAACAACUGGCUAAUUUUUCUUCAAAAAGUCAAAGAUUUAGGUUAACCAAUAACUGUGUUUGUAGUCUAAUUAGAUCUAAAAGAGAUUUUUGACUAGCUGGCCAUGGUGUUUCAUGCCUGUUAUCUAGACACAUGAAAGUCAGGAGAAUUUCCAUGAUUCUGAGGCCAACUUGGGCUACAAUAGAAAAACCCUGCCCUUUGGAGGAAAAAAGUAAGAAAAAAUAGAGAAACUGAGAGAUUAUAUAGACUGGAAAAAACUUGUUAACUUAUAUAAUGAUAAACUUGCACUACAUUAAAAAAAACCUUAUUUUUAG
rnacentral:lncRNA from 1 species